rnacentral:rRNA from 1 species
CCCUUAGAUGUCCUGGGCGGCACGCGUGCUACACUGGGGGGCGCAACGAGUACACCACCUUGGCCGAGAGGUCUGGGUAAUCUGCUAAUGCCCUCCGUGUUUGGGAUUGUCCCUUGCAAGUGGGACAUGAACGAGGAAUGCCUAGUAAGCGCGCGUCAUCAGCGCGCGUUGAUUACGUCCCUGCCCUUUGUACACACCGCCCGUCGCUCCUACCGAUUGGAAGGUCCGGUGAGAUCUCGGGAUGGGCCGCGCGUUCGCGCUGGGCAACCAGCGUUGCGCAGCCCAAAACUUGCUCAAACCUUAUCUUCUAGAGGAAGGAGAANUCGUANCA